GUAGGUGGCAAGCGUUGUCCGGAAUUAUUGGGCGUAAAGCGCGCGCAGGCGGGGUCCUUUAAGUCUGAUGUGAAAAGCCCACGGGCUCAACCGUGGAGGGUCAUUGGAAACUGGGGGACUUGAGUACAGAAGAGGAAAGCGGAAUUCCAAGCGUAGCGGUGAAAUGCGUAGAGAUUUGGAGGAACACCAGUGGCGAAGGCGGCUUUCUGGUCUGUAACUGACGCUGAGGCGCGAAAGCGUGGGGAGCAAACAGGAUUAGAUACCCUGGUAGUCCACGCCGUAAACGAUGAGUGCUAAGUGUUAGGGGGUUUCCGCCCCUUAGUGCUGCAGCUAACGCAUUAAGCACUCCGCCUGGGGAGUACGGCCGCAAAGGCUG
rnacentral:rRNA from 1 species